rnacentral:rRNA from 1 species
AGCGAACGUUAGCGGCGGGCCUAACACAUGCAAGUCGCACGAGAAAGCGGUUUCGGCCGUAAGUAAAGUGGCGGACGGGUGAGUAACACGUGGGUAAUCUGCCUUUCAGCGGGGGACAACAGUCCGAAAGGAUUGCUAAUACCGCAUACGUCGGCGGGAGACUCUCGAAAGAGACGAUUUCCGUCGGGAAAGCCGGCCACUCCAUGGAAGCUGGCGCUGAAAGAGGAGCCCGCGGCCCAUCAGCUAGUUGGUGAGGUAAUGGCUCACCAAGGCAAAGACGGGUAGCUGGUCUGAGAGGAUGAUCAGCCACACUGGGACUGAGACACGGCCCAGACUCCUACGGGAGGCAGCAGUGGGGAAUAUUGGGCAAUGGGCGCAAGCCUGACCCAGCCACGCCGCGUGAGUGAUGAAGGCCUUCGGGUCGUAAAGCUCUGUGGGGAGGGACGAAAAAACGGUGGCUAACAUCCACUGGACUGACGGUACCUCCUUAGCAAGCAUCGGCUAACUCCGUGCCAGCAGCCGCCGUAACAC